rnacentral:rRNA from 1 species
UACAGAGGUCUCAAGCGUUGUUCGGAUUCAUUGGGCGUAAAGGGUGCGUAGGUGGCGCGGUAAGUCGGGUGUGAAAUUUCGGGAGCUUAACUCCGAAACUGCAUUCGAUACUGCCGUGCUUGAGGACUGGAGAGGAGACUGGAAUUUACGGUGUAGCAGUGAAAUGCGUAGAGAUCGUAAGGAAGACCAGUGGCGAAGGCGGGUCUCUGGACAGUUCCUGACACUGAGGCACGAAGGCCAGGGGAGCAAACGGG